rnacentral:rRNA from 1 species
UACAGAGGGGGCAAGCGUUAUUCGGAAUUAUUGGGCGUAAAGGGCGCGUAGGCGGCCUGGCAAGUGGAAGGUGAAAUCCCUCGGCUUAACCGGGGAACUGCAUCUGAUACUGGAUGGCUUGAGUUCGGGAGAGGGAUGCAGAAUUCCAGGUGUAGCGGUGAAAUGCGUAGAUAUCUGGAGGAAUACCGGUGGCGAAGGCGGCAUCCUGGACCGGAAUUGACACUGAGGAGCGAAAGCCAGGGGAGCAAACGGG